rnacentral:rRNA from 1 species
AUACGUAUGGGGCAAGCGUUAAUCGGAAUUACUGGGCGUAAAGCGUGCGCAGGCGGUUUUUUAAGUUCGUGGUGAAAUCUCCCGGCUCAACCGGGGGACGGCGAUGGUUACUGCCAGGCUAGAGUGCGGCAGAGGGGGAUGGAAUUCCGCGUGUAGCGGUGAAAUGCGGAGAUAUGCGGAGGAACACCGGUGGCGAAGGCACUCCCGUGCGAAUGCACUGACGCUAAGGCACGAAAGCGUGGGGAACAGAGAGGAUUAGAUCCCCUGGUAGUCGACGCCAAAAACGACGGCAACUGGUUGGUGGGUCGUAAAUUCCUCAGUAACGAAGCUAACACGUGAAGUUGACGGCCUGGGGAGUACGGCCGCAAGGUUGAAACUCAAAGGAAUUGACGGGG